UCUGUUAUUUUCUUCUCAGAACUCCGGAAGGGUUCAAUUUGACGAUUAGGUACUUAAAAUAUCAACGUAUAUCAUUCUGUUUGUGUGAUUUAUAACACUCAUCAUAUCGUACUUUUUUCAUCCCCCUGUUCCAGUGUAAUGUUUACGUCACUAGACCAGUUAUUCGCAUCAACUCGAUUCCCAGAAAGUUUUGUUUUGUUUUGUCUUUUGUCAUUUCUUAUCUUUAAUCAGUGCGAAUAUUGGGUCAGCGUCCGAUUAUAUUGUGUUCCUUACGAUUAGAAAUGUUCAGUGUUAUCUAUUUUGUAUUGCAUUGUAUGUAUUUUCGUUGUGUACCACUGAUUUAUUUUUACUUACAUUUGGUAAACUUUUCCAGAUUUCUUUUGUGCGAUGUUCGAAGCUGUUACCACUUACCGGUGUUGAUGUGAUGAAGCUCGUUCAAAUCCAAGAUUCACGCUCGAAUGCCCAGUCCAAGUCCAUUGAAAAUUGGAAAAAUCCGAGUACUGAAGACCGCUACCUAGUCCUUCGUGGUUUCGUUCCAUCAAAAUAAUCUACAAUUUCUCUGAUGAGGAGAGAGAAUACCUAAAAUACGUCCAGUUCAGUUCCAACAAAAGCGUCGGAUGCUUUCACCUGCCACCUGGUGUUCGAUAAUUAAUCAUGCAUGUCCGAAGAAUACACGCAGAGAUGACGGUGUUGUGUUUCGCGUUGUGUUCGUUUCUUUUUUACGUAAUUUGUGCUACCCUGGGUUGCUUAUCUUGUUGAAAUUCAUUGUGGUGUUUCGCGAUGUGUGCCGAAGUUCCCGCUAUCUGCGAUGUUCAUUGUCUGGCGUUCAUAUCCAAAAGCGAUUGAUUGGGUUCCUGUCCAUAACGUCCGAAUUCCACGAAGUAGAUUCACCCAUUGAAUUUAACCGGUUCCAUUGCUCUUCGAGGUAUCAGUUUUCAGUGGUUUCAUUAUUCAUGCUGUCCGUGAUGAUGUCCGAAUUACUCGACGAAGAAUCAUUAAAAUAGCAGUUCUUACUGCUAAUUAUUUCUUCUACUUAUUCAACAGUAUGAUGCCGUGUGGCUAUAUGUACAUAUUGUUGAACGUAUGUGAUUAUUAACACGUUGCUAUUUCUUCUACUACAACUACCAUUCCUAGAGGUAUGAAAUUUUUUCGCGACUGAAAGAAGAAUUUUCUCACAAGAAGAGGAAAUAAAGUUCCAUUAUUGCUGAAUCAAAUGAAGUAGAAAUUGCCAAAGAAGAUUCGUCGAAUUUGUAGUCCGUAUACCUACUGCUAAUCUGAUUAUUUCUUCUAACCUAUUCAAUAUUAUGAAGUCUUUUAUGACUACAUAAUGUUGAAUGUAUGUGAUUAUCAACACGUUGCUAUUUCUUCUACGACGAGUCAAAAACUACAAUUUCUGGGAAUGUGAAAUUUUUCCGCUAAUAGAAGAUCUUUCCCUGGAGAAGAGGUGAAAGAAAGCUCCGUCAGUCCAGUUCCGAGUCAAAUGAAGCCGAAUUUUCCAGAGACGAUUCGUUAUAAAAUAGCAGUUUUUACUGCUGAUUUUUCUUCAACAAUAUGUACCUUGCGAUUAUUAUCGUAUUAGGUAACACGUUGCUUUUUUUUCUUCUACAAUAACUAGUAGUUUUCACUGCUGACUAUAUUAUUCAACAUUAUUUAGCUCUGUGGCUAAAUAACGUUGGAUGUAGGUACUAUGUGAUUAAACACGUUGCUAUUAUUUCUUCUACAACCACAACAAUCGUCUGGAGAUGAUUGUGAAAUGUUUCGCAAAUAGAAAAUGAGAAUUCCAAGUCCGACCAAAAAGAUGAAGAUAGUUCAGUCGGCGGUGAGUCGAAAUGAAUUAAGCUGAAUUCCAAUUCGCCAGUGAGACGAGUUCAUGCAUGAUAAAGAAUUCCGAAGCGGCCAAUUUUCGACUGGUUUGAUACGAUCGAAGGAACACGUGAUUAUCAUCAAGUAUCGUUUUUUAUAUUUUCAAGUUCAAUAUUAUUUUUCUAAUGGCUGUUUUUUUGUUAAGGUAUUGAUGUUGUCAGACUUGACAGUUUAUUGCUUUGUUCAGCGUAUUGUAUUCAUUAAAAUCACAUGUCGAAUUCAAAUUUCGAACGCGACGCGUGUACUUGGUGGAAGUAUUUCAAAGAUAGCAAAUUCUGUGCGGAUUUCAAGUACCUAUCGUCUGAGAUCGAAAGAUUAAUGAAUUCGUACUGAUUUUUUGCAAGAUUUCAUAAUGAGAAAUGGAUAAUUCAGUAUUUUGUAUCAGAUAUCGAUGGCGUAUUUCCCAACUUCAAGUUUGUAUGUAGUUCAGCAUACCUAUUUCGUUAAUUCUAUAUUACCUCAAUGGAAUGGAAUCGAAUGCAAAGUAGACUAUUAGAUGGAAAAUUUUGUUCGGAGUACGAUGAUAUGUAAAAAUGAACCUUAUUAAUCUAGGUAUGUGUAAGUAAUUUAGGCUUAAUUUUAUAUUGUCGUUUAGAUUUCAUCUCAGAGGGCCACUUCUUUAUUUUUAAAUGAAGUAUGUAGCUUCUAAAGCUCGCUGUUUCAGUUUCAGCAUACCUAUUACCUACCAUUCAUUUACGUAGCAAUUAUCUCAUUGAAAUGUGAAACGAUGAAUAGGAAAAUGCUACGAUCACGAAAAUUGCUCCUAUACAUUAUCUUUAUCUAUGUACGUUGUUCUUUUCAUCGUGUAACGAGAUGACCGUCUUUCGAAUACCACCGACAUUUGAAGAAUUGUGCAGAUAGGUCAAGAUGCUAAAAAUGUAUACUUAUUUUGCGUUUUGUGCGAUAUUUGUUCGAAGUCACUAGGCACGAAUUUUUUAAUGAAUGAAAAAAGGUCCACCGGAGAAAAAUGUUUAUGUAAACGCACGAAUUUCAUUCUAUUGGAGCUCAACAGAAUAUAAUUUAACCGGAGGUACCGAUAUCGAAGUACGAGGAAACUGUGUAAAGUAUUCGAUUAAUGAAGUCCCCCUCUCCGCUUACCCAGGAUUAUGAAAUUUUCUCGGAUUCCGAUUUAACGAAUCAAUUACCUGAGGCGAUCUUGUACACGUGAGAAGAUACUGAAGAUAGAGAUAGGUAACGCCUACAAAAUAAUCUGGGAACAUUUAUCAGGAAUAAAUCAAAGGAUGUGAUCGAUGAUCGUUCAUGUAUUUGCCCAAAUCUGGAUACGUACAUUUACUUCAACCAGAUAUGUAUUUUAUUGCAUUUAUACACAUUUCUGAAAUGUCAUUUGCACGUUUUUGUGAUCGUAUGCAUGUAUGUGUUCUUUUCGUCUUCUCUUACCUACUUUUUGUUUUACUGUUCUAUGGUUAUUCUUUCUUCAUUUUCUGUUCUCUUUCUUUCAUAUAUGUGCCUCAUGACGAAAAUCAUUAUGCAGAUACUUGAUACUUAUGAACUUCUGAAGGCGUCAAACAAGGUAGGUUAGGUACAAGGCGUGAUUAGUAUUUUAUUUCAUUAUAAAUAUAGGUAUGCGAAUAUCCACAUUUUCAAGUAGGUACGUAAUUUAUAUAUCGAUAAGUACAAAGUUAUAUCUUGAGAAAACAAUCAGGUGAGUUUCAUUCUAACGUACGUUAGCAGGUAAGUAGAUAUUGUUGAAAAUUAUACGUGGUGCCUUUUUUUGUUUCUAAUUAAGAUAUUACGAACAUUAAAAGUUUUUUAAAAAGUCAGGUGAGUAAUUUAUUGAAAGGUAGGUAAGUUUUAUUUUAGGGGAAAACAAGUAAGUAAGUCAUUUUAAGGUCCACUUGUGUAAUUUUUCUAUUUUCUUUUUUUUGUAAUAAAUGAUAAUCCUUUCUUCAUUUAGAUUUUAGGUACAUUCAAUAUUUUGAAUUAAUUAUAAAUUGCUAAUACGUUUCUCGGUUACCUGCACACAGAUUGAAACGCAAAAUAGUUCGGAGAAUGAUUUACGUGAAGCAAUGAAUGGGAGGUGAUGGAUCAGGUCAUUCAGGUCUUCUGUGUUCGGUGUACCCAAAAGUGUGAGAUUUAUUUUGACUGAUUUCAAUAGUUCGCCGGUACCAACAGUUAAAGUUUUUCUCUGGAAAAGGAUAAUAGUGAGUUGGUUCAAAGUUUUUGUUGUUUGGUUGUGAUUUCAAUGUCCAUAUUGUCUUUCUGUGUGAUUGCUCCUUAGUCUUUUUUGAGUUUACUUUCGUGUGAUUGUUUGUGGUGAUGUGCAUGCGAGCUUUGUUUUCUUCUCUUCUGCUUUUCUAGUCUAUAUUCUUUUUUUUUUUCGUGUAAGUAGGUAUGUCGUUGAUGAUGAAAAUCAAAAAUAAGUGUUUUAUAUCGGUAGUACGUACGUAUAAGUAAUUAAUGAAUUUCAGAAAAUGACAAUUCGUGUAAAUAAAAGUAGAUAUUCUUUAAUGUUUUAAGCUUUUUCUUCUCCACUCAGGUAGGUAUUGUUAUAGGUGGAGAUGGAGAGGCUGAAUAUUGUCCGUAAAUCCGGAAUAAUUCAUCAAGAAAUAGCGAGAAGAGUAGAUCGAUUAGAAACCUGCUUACACCCGAGUAAUAAAAUAUUAUCACCUGUUCUACGCAUGUGCUUUUAUGGUUGGAAUGUCUUGUGCCUAUUUUUCGCAUGUUGAUUUUCGUUUGCAUUUAUCCAAUUUCAUUUGGUGUUCUGUUAAGUUCUUUUACGUCGUAUUCUUUUUUGGUUUCAUUUUAUUCGCUUUUCCCUCUUGUACAUAUGCCUAUAAUCAAUAAAAUCAUAAAUAUAUGCUAAUGACUCUUUAGAAAUUAUUUUAAAAGCAGCUCAACAGCUUGUUGGUAAGUAUAAAUAUAAAUAAUUUUUCAACUCGAAUAAUUCAACAUAUUAGGUAUCUUCUCACGUAAAUGAGUUUUGCUCACAUGUUAUACCUACUCGUAGCUUAUUAUUGAAUUAGACAAAGUUAUUUUUCUUUUUCAUGACCAAAGCAUCGAUUAUCCAAUAUUGUUUUUACGGGGUUCAAUACAGGAAAAGUAAUCAUCGGUGGCUUUCUGUUCUCUCGUAACGUUCCAUGAUGACUCGGUGCUUAUACCUGCUGGCAGGAGAUUCGAUUCAAAGAGUCAAGUUGUUGCUCCUUCGCGUUCCUUCAGAAUUUUUACUGGUUCUACGCCUGAUCAAGGAAUACUUCGUAUUCUUGCGGGUAGGAUAAUGUUAUUAGGUAACUACGCGAGAAGUGCAGAAAGAUCGUCACAAAUCGAGAAUCGAAGUUCAUUAUUCAUACUUAGCUUAUGACUAUUUAUAAGUUUUUAUGUGUGUGUAUGAGAUUUUUACAGAUAGAUUUCAUUGUAAUUUUUUACGAAAUCGAUUGACGAUAACAUAUAUGUUUGUAAAAUGUAUCCGGAUCCAUCAAAUUUGUCUAUGUUUAACGUAGGUUUUGAAUCUCCUCCCAGACCCAGAUGUCAGAUGUGGGUGUA